CCUACGGGAGGCAGCAGUGAGGAAUAUUGGUCAAUGGACGAGAGUCUGAACCAGCCAAGUAGCGUGAAGGAUGACUGCCCUAUGGGUUGUAAACUUCUUUUAUAAAGGAAUAAAACGAGGCACGUGUGCCUUUUUGCAUGUACUUUAUGAAUAAGGAUCGGCUAACUCCGUGCCAGCAGCCGCGGUAAUACGGAGGAUCCGAGCGUUAUCCGGAUUUAUUGGGUUUAAAGGGAGCGUAGAUGGGUUGUUAAGUCCGUUGUGAAAGUUUGCGGCUCAACCGUAAAAUUGCAAUUGAUACUGGCAGUCGUGAGUACAGUUGAGGUAGGCGGAAUUCGUGGUGUAGCGGUGAAAUGCUUAGAUAUCACGAAGAACCCCGAUUGCGAAGGCAGCUUACUAAACUGUGACUGACAUUGAUGCUCGAAAGUGUGGGUAUCAAACAGGAUUAGAUACCCUGGUAGUC
rnacentral:rRNA from 1 species